rnacentral:ncRNA from 2 species
AGAACCGUAAGAAGAGAUCUCCACCCUUGGAUCAAUCUUAAUUGAAUGUCAACACUAAUGAGGUGCAACGAGAUGCACCAGACCAAAUCCCUUCUAAAACGGAAUUCAUGGUGGGCAUGAGAUCAAAAGUGAUCAAGGGUUCAGAUCUCUUCUUAUGCUUCU